rnacentral:rRNA from 1 species
AUUGAACGCUGGCGGCAUGCUUUACACAUGCAAGUCGAACGGUAACAGGCCGCAAGGUGCUGACGAGUGGCGAACGGGUGAGUAAUGCAUCGGAACGUGCCCAGUCGUGGGGGAUAACUAUUCGAAAGAGUAGCUAAUACCGCAUACGAUCUAUGGAUGAAAGCGGGGGACCGUAAGGCCUCGCGCGAUUGGAGCGGCCGAUGUCAGAUUAGGUAGUUGGUGGGGUAAAGGCUCACCAAGCCAACGAUCUGUAGCUGGUCUGAGAGGACGACCAGCCACACUGGGACUGAGACACGGCCCAGACUCCUACGGGAGGCAGCAGUGGGGAAUUUUGGACAAUGGGCGCAAGCCUGAUCCAGCAAUGCCGCGUGCAGGAAGAAGGCCUUCGGGUUGUAAACUGCUUUUGUACGGAACGAAACGGCUCUGGUUAAUACCCGGGGCUAAUGACGGUACCGUAAGAAUAAGCACCGGCUAACUACGUA